ACUCGUACGGGAGGCAGCAGUGGGGUAAUAUUGCACAAUGGGCGCAAGCCUGAUGCAGCCAUGCCGCGUGUAUGAAGAANGACGUCGUCGUUAGUAGUCUGCAGCNNGAUGAGAAGUAGUAGUAGUUAAGUAGCUGNCAUUUAUUUGACGUUAGCUGCAGAAGAAGCACCGGCUACUCAGUGCANGCAGCCGCGUAGUCGAGCGGAGGGCUGCGCAGCGUUCAAGAUACGGGAAUUGAACUGGGCGUAAAGUCAGCAUGCAGGUGGUUUAGUUCAAGGUCAGAUGUGAAAGCCGGGCUUCAAACCUGCGGAAUAGCAUUUGAAACUGGCAGGACUAGAGUAC
rnacentral:rRNA from 1 species